rnacentral:rRNA from 1 species
GAUGAACGCUAGCGGGAAGCUUAACACAUGCAAGUCGAGGGGCAGCAUAGGGUAGCAAUACUCUGAUGGCGACCGGCAAACGGGUGAGUAACGCGUAUGCAACCUACCCUGGUACAGGGGGAUAACCCGGAGAAAUUCGGACUAAUAUCCCCGUAAUAAUAUCCGGAGGCAUCUUUGGAUAUUUAAAGUUUCGACGGUACGGGAUGGGCAUGCGUAACAUUAGCUGGUUGGUAAGGUAACGGCUUACCAAGGCUAUGAUGUUUAGGGGUCCUGAGAGGGUGGUCCCCCACACUGGUACUGAGACACGGACCAGACUCCUACGGGAGGCAGCAGUGAGGAAUAUUGGUCAAUGGGCGCAAGCCUGAACCAGCCAUCCCGCGUGCAGGAAGACGGCCCUAGUGGGUUGUAAACUGCUUUUCCAGGGAGAGAAACUUACGCACGUGUUGCGUGACUGACGGUACCCUGGGAAUAGCAUCGGCUAACUCCGUGCCAGCAGCCGCGGUAAUAGUGUGUGUAC